rnacentral:tRNA from 2 species
UGACCCGUUAGUCAAGUGGUUAAGACACCAGCCUUUCACGCUGGUAUCGUGGGUUCAAAUCCCGCACGGGUCAUC